rnacentral:lncRNA from 1 species
AUGUUUAACGUAAAUAGGAAUAAUAAGAAAGGUGGAGGUGUUGCCUUCUAUGUACAGAAACAUAUUGAGCGUAAAGUAAUUGAUAGUACAGUUAUUGAUGACAUUAUGGAGAGUAUAAUAAUAGAAAUCAGUUUCACCAAAAGGAAAAAAAUUAUUUUGAGUUGCAUGUAUAGAACACCAGGUUCUUGUGUUGAAUCAUUUAUACAAAAUGCUGAUAUAUUGCAAAUGAUUUGUGCUAAGAAACAUGUAUUUGUUUGUGGUGAUUUUAAUAUUGACUUGAUCAAAUGGAAGGAACAUAAGUUAACCUUAGAUUUUUUGAAUAUGGUGUUUAAUUUUGGUCUCUGGCCUAUGAUUGAUAGACCAAGCAGGAUAACUAAAGAUAGUGCCACAUCAAUUGAUAAUAUAUUUACGAAUGUUUGUAGUCAAUCUUUGAGUGGUUUGCUAAUAAAUGAUAUUAGCGACCACCUUCCUGUUUUUACAAUUUCAAAUAUGGACAUUUUUAGACCCCUACAUAAGGAGGAUGAUGAUUCUACUAUAUUGGUGAGAUGGAAGACAGCAGAAAGAAUUGAGGCAUUCAAAGCAGAACUUUUGAAUUACAAAUGGGAUCAGGUGUAUGUAGACGAUACAAACCAAGCAUAUGAUACCUUUCUGUCAAUAUUCUUAGAGGUAUAUAAUAAAAAUUGCCCUAUUAUACAAUAUAAGACAAAGAAAAAUUAUAAAAGAAAGCUGUGGAUGACAGAAGGUCUGUUAAAGGCAUGUAAAAAGAAAAUGGUAUUAUAUGAAAAAUUCAUCAAACAUAGGACAAGUGAAAAUGAAGACAAUUACAAAAAAUAUAAGAAUAAAUUAACUACAGCUAUUAGGAUCAGAAAGAAGCAAUAUUAUGAUGAAAUUUUAGAUAAAAACAGAAACGAUACUCGUAGGACGUGGAAAAUAUUAAAUAAUAUAAUUCAAAAAAGGAUGACAACAUUGGAAUGGCCAAACUACUUUCUAAAUAGUUCAAAUCAUAAAGUAAAUGAUCUAAUAAAUAUAGUGGAAGAAUUUAACAAAUUUUUUAUAAGUGUCGGCCCCUCAUUAGCAAAUGAGAUAGCAGUGCCACCUGAUGCAAAUACACUUAAUAAUCUGAUAAAUAGUAAUAUCAACUCAAUGUUUCUACAUGAGAUAAGUGAGACUGAUGUAAAUACAGUAAGAAAUUAA